GCAACACCUAGCAAAGGGCAUAUGGGUAUGAAUAUAUGAGAUUCUGGACUUAAAAUGAAAUACAAACAAGAUUGACACUGCACUGUCUGAAGUAUUCUUCAUGCUGCAUUACUAGUCACCCUACAUAAAACUAGAAAGCCCAGAAGAAAGGACACAAGAUCCAUGCUCCUGACCUUAGGAUAACUGAUUUAAACUUUUCUUCACCU
rnacentral:lncRNA from 1 species